rnacentral:rRNA from 1 species
GAUGAACGCUGGCGGCGUGCCUAAUACAUGCAAGUCGAGCGAACGGACGAGAAGCUUGCUUCUCUGAUGUUAGCGGCGGACGGGUGAGUAACACGUGGAUAACCUACCUAUAAGACUGGGAUAACUUCGGGAAACCGGAGCUAAUACCGGAUAAUAUUUUGAACCGCAUGGUUCAAAAGUGAAAGACGGUCUUGCUGUCACUUAUAGAUGGAUCCGCGCUGCAUUAGCUAGUUGGUAAGGUAACGGCUUACCAAGGCAACGAUGCAUAGCCGACCUGAGAGGGUGAUCGGCCACACUGGAACUGAGACACGGUCCAGACUCCUACGGGAGGCAGCAGUAGGGAAUCUUCCGCAAUGGGCGAAAGCCUGACGGAGCAACGCCGCGUGAGUGGUGAAGGUCUUCGGAUCGUAAAACUCUGUUAUUAGGGAAGAACAGAUGUGUAAGUAACUGUGCACAUCUUGACGGUACCUAAUCAGAAAGCCACGGCUAACUACGUG